GAGAUUGCAAAGAACAACGAAUCGUGUUUAACGGACGAUCAAACAGGAAAAUCGUGACUUGUGCUUCCAUAGAGAAAAUGUGGCAUGUGGAAGGGAAUUAAAAGACAAGCUGAGAGUAAUCAUAAGAAUUCAUUUGGUGACACUUUUUAUCACAUAAGAGAGCCAUAGACGGCAACUUCUGGCGCGCACCACUACUGGGGAGCUAAAAAGAAGUUGCCGGUGGAAUGUUGGGGAUUAGGAAAAAAGUGUGUGGAGAAUUUUCUCCUUAUGUCGUUUCGAGUAUUUUUCUUCUUAUACUCUAUCUUGAAAGAUUUACUUUGAAAUUCACGCGGGAAACCUGUGUAUGCGCAGAUUUAUCCAUUUGGCACCUUUCUGCUAUGUUCUACCACUCCAAGAAGAAUACACUUGUCGUUCUUCAAAAUCUGCCCAUCAUCUCUCCCCAAAAAAUUAUUCACUCUUCUAGAGAAUUUCAACAACAAAAAAAGAAAUAUACUGUAGAAUUUCUCUACUUAUCUCUCUCUCCUCUUUUUUCAUGAUGCAAGGUGAACCAAAAUAAGAAUAAAUAAGUAAAAUGAGUUGAAAGACAGGGGAGAAGUCACCGUGAUUAGCUUCAAUUAAGUUUAAAUUUGUAAGAAAUAUUUUUGUUCGAGAAAUAUUUAAU